UUGAUUGGUGCUUGCAUCAUGAUUUACAUUUGAGUGAGUGGCGAACUGGUGAGUAACACGUGGGAAACCUGCCCAGAAGCGGGGGAUAACACCUGGAAACAGAUGCUAAUACCGCAUAACAACUUGGACCGCAUGGUCCGAGCUUGAAAGAUGGCUUCGGCUAUCACUUUUGGAUGGUCCCGCGGCGUAUUAGCUAGAUGGUGGGGUAACGGCUCACCAUGGCAAUGAUACGUAGCCGACCUGAGAGGGUAAUCGGCCACAUUGGGACUGAGACACGGCCCAAACUCCUACGGGAGGCAGCAGUAGGGAAUCUUCCACAAUGGACGAAAGUCUGAUGGAGCAACGCCGCGUGAGUGAAGAAGGGUUUCGGCUCGUAAAACUCUGUUGUUAAAGAAGAACAUAUCUGAGAGUAACUGUUCAGGUAUUGACGGUAUUUAACCAGAAAGCCACGGCUAACUACGUGCCAGCAGCCGCGGUAAUACGUAGGUGGCAAGCGUUGUCCGGAUUUAUUGGGCGUAAAGCGAGCGCAGGCGGUUUUUUAAGUCUGAUGUGAAAGCCUUCGGCUCAACCGAAGAAGUGCAUCGGAAACUGGGAAACUUGAGUGCAGAAGAGGACAGUGGAACUCCAUGUGUAGCGGUGAAAUGCGUAGAUAUAUGGAAGAACACCAGUGGCGAAGGCGGCUGUCUGGUCUGUAACUGACGCUGAGGCUCGAAAGUAUGGGUAGCAAACAGGAUUAGAUACCCUGGUAGUCCAUACCGUAAACGAUGAAUGCUAAGUGUUGGAGGGUUUCCGCCCUUCAGUGCUGCAGCUAACGCAUUAAGCAUUCCGCCUGGGGAGUACGGCCGCAAGGCUGAAACUCAAAGGAAUUGACGGGGGCCCGCACAAGCGGUGGAGCAUGUGGUUUAAUUCGAAGCUACGCGAAGAACCUUACCAGGUCUUGACAUACUAUGCAAAUCUAAGAGAUUAGACGUUCCCUUCGGGGACAUGGAUACAGGUGGUGCAUGGUUGUCGUCAGCUCGUGUCGUGAGAUGUUGGGUUAAGUCCCGCAACGAGCGCAACCCUUAUUAUCAGUUGCCAGCAUUAAGUUGGGCACUCUGGUGAGACUGCCGGUGACAAACCGGAGGAAGGUGGGGAUGACGUCAAAUCAUCAUGCCCCUUAUGACCUGGGCUACACACGUGCUACAAUGGAUGGUACAACGAGUUGCGAACUCGCGAGAGUAAGCUAAUCUCUUAAAGCCAUUCUCAGUUCGGAUUGUAGGCUGCAACUCGCCUACAUGAAGUCGGAAUCGCUAGUAAUCGCGGAUCAGCAUGCCGCGGUGAAUACGUUCCCGGGCCUUGUACACACCGCCCGUCACACCAUGAGAGUUUGUAACACCCAAAGUCGGUGG
rnacentral:rRNA from 2 species